UGUUGUUAUUGUUGUUUAAAUCUUCCUGGAAGGCAGAAAGAAAGAGAUAAAAAGGAAAAAACAGCAUUUGUCACUUAUAGUGCUCUGGUUAGCACAGUAGCUGGGCCCCUGAACCCUCUACAGGCCUCCCAAGCUGGCACUGAAUAAAAUGUGAGAAAUGAAAGGAACUUUUCCGUGAGUCUGGCAGCGCCGACAGACACUGAGGUGGCAGAGCUGUCUGGUCCCAGUCCACAUGCAGAGGCCUGCAGCUCCUCCUUCCAGCCCGCACCCACCAGAGCUUCUCAGACGGGCCGUGUCCUGAGAAGGUUGUUGCCAAUGUAGAUGUUUGAGAGGCUCACUGAUGAACAAAUCAACAGAGCAGAUUUAAUCUGAAGAGAUCCAAAUAUUGUGCUUCUUUGGACUCAUAGAAAUGGCGAAAGAUUUAACAUCAGGAAGUACUUAAGUCAGCUAAUUUCUAGAGCCUUCUUCCUCCCUGUCACUUGAUUCUAGAUAGGAUCACCAGUUAGACAUCAGAACCAGAUCUUUUUAUCCAGAGAAGUACCAGUUUGUUGUUUUUCCUUCCGAAGCCAAGUCCUCGAGUUUCAGGUAGACUUCAGUUGAUUUCUGCGAGGUCUUUGCUUUCUCUCUGCCAGAAUAAUCACUGCUGAGGAAAGCAAAAAGCCCCGAAGAGCCUGGCUUGGAAUAAAAACAUGCACCAUACAAGAUUUUUAUGAAGAUUAAAUAACUUGGGCUAAAAUAUUCUGGAAGCUGCCAAGGGCUCUACAGAUGAGCUAUACAGAGGCAUUUGCUGAAAACUGGCCUGGAUUGACAAGCGCAAUGCAAACGUGGCUGCGGCAGUUCCAGGCAUCACAUGGUAACAAGAUCACAUCCAGUGAAGAAGGAAUUCUCAUAAGACAGUCAGCAGAUUUUGCAGGUUUUCAACUGAUUGGAUGAGGUUCACCUACAUUAUGGAGGACAGUCUGCUUUACUCAAAGUCCAUCAAUGUAAAUUCCUGCAAGGUGGAUAUCACUCUCACCUUCAGCGCACAAAGAAAGGAGGUAUACAGAAGACACAGAACUCACCAAAGUCACAGGAACUAGGUGAGGAUGAACCAGGCUGCAUCCAAGCAGCCCAGCUUCAGGGUCUGUAUUCUUUGCCACUACCCAGAACUUUUACCAAUAAGCAAAGCUAUUGUUUGCAAUAACAGGAAGCAAAAAUAGCAAAAAGUUCCCUUUAAGGGGGAGUGUUAUAAUAUACUUAACAAUCAGAAUGGCUGAAGCACUGAUCUGUGAGAGUGGCUACUGGUCAUAGCCUGGAGCUGGUCUUUUAGGUCCUCUUUGGUUACUGGAUCCUGGGAGGAUGGAUGAGGAAGUGGUCUCAGGCAAGGGGUGGAGUUAAGUGGCUGUGGAAGGUACUUUGGAGGCUCAGGCAGCAGCUUUUUUUCCCCUUAAACUUUUGUUUUAAGUUCUAGGGUACACGUGCAGGAUGUGCAGUUUACAUAGGUAAACGUGUGCCGUGGUGGUUUGCUGUACAGAACAAACCAUCACUCAGGUAUUAUUAAGCCCAGCACCCAUUAGCUAUUCUUUCUGAUGCUUUCCCUCUCCCAACUUCCACCCGACAGGCCCCAGUGUGUGUUGUUCCCCUCCCUCUGUUCUCAUUGUUCAGCUCCCACUUAUAAGU
rnacentral:lncRNA from 1 species